ACCCUCAGGCCACAACGGCACAAGUCUACAACAAUAUGUAAAAUACAAAUAAUUUCCUUAAUUUUCCCCAAUUCAUCCAAUGUACUCAUGAAAUAUUGAGUAAUUGAAUUUGGUUAAACACAUCAUUGCCAUACAGCAAAUGAGGAUGGAGGCGCAGUGUCAGAUGCCGUCAAAGACUAUGAUUUGCCUUUAUUGUGUCCUCAGAUUAACAUUGAUGGAGGUCAGAUUCAUAUUUUCCUAAGUUAUGUCAAUUUAUCCCUUUAAUUUUCUUUUUCUUGUUAUUGUUAUUACAAAUCAUUGGAUAUUAUUAUUUUUAAAAAUUAAAGUAUGGAGUACCUGUUUUGGGUAUAUAGAUUAAAGCAUACUGUUACAUAUUCCACUGAACACUUACAAGGGCAGACUUUAAUUUCAAUCAGUCUUCAAACAAAUGAAUAUCUAUUUGUUAAAGUGGUAUUAAUUGACAAGGGAAAUAUCCAAGAAAGAAACAAGCAAGUUCAAGGAAAAAUGGAAAAUAACUUUUACUGAGUGCUGUAUGAAAUAUGUAAUGAGUACUUUUGCUUUUUAAAGUUGUGUAUCGAAUACUUUGAAACAUCUUUAAUUGACUUAUACCCUUUGUCUUUACAGUUGGCAAUUGCUAACUAGCAUUGUAUUGUAAUUGUAAUAAUCGUGAUCGUAUUGUAAUUUUGUGUACUUGAUAAGCUAAUCACCGUUCGUUCAUUCAUUCAUUCAUUCAUUCCAAACACCAUUGUGAUUGUGUUUUAUCGAAUAAUGGACAUCGUAGGCACGGCCCUAUCUGCUGCUCAAACACUGUUUGCAGCACUGCAAUGCUCGCAGCUCAAAGAGAUACUCUCAUGCUCCAAAUCAAAACUUGGAGUUGAUGACCUUCAACACAGUAUUGAAGCCAUCACUGCUGUGCUCCGUGAUGCAGAGACUAAGCAGGAGUUAUCCCAUCAAGAAAAGCUUCAGAUCGAGGAGCUCAAGAAUGCAGUCUUUGAAGCCGAUGAUUUGUUGGAUGAAUUCGCUACCCUGGUUCAGCAGAAGCAACUCCUGGAGGCUGAUGGUAGAGUAUCUGAAAAAUUGCGUCGCUUCUUUUCUGGUUCCAACCCACUAGUAGUUGCUUACAGGAUGUCUCAAGGGGUUAAGGAGAGCAAGAUGAAGUUGGAUGCUAUCGCUUCCAACACUCGUUUUUACUUUAAGCAUGAUCCUGAACCUAUCAGGAAGAGAAGGCUUGAGACCUGUUCUUAUGUGGAUGCUGCUGAAAUCAUAGGAAGAGAGGAUGACUUGGAGAAAAUUGUUAGUAUGCUUUUAGCUUCUGAUGUUCAGGGUGAUGUUACUUUCCUUUCUAUUGUGGGAAUUGGAGGAUUGGGCAAAACUACUCUAGCUCAACUUGUGUUUAACGAUCCAAGGGUCAUAACUGCAUUUCCAUUAAGGUUGUGGACUUGUGUCUCUGAUGAAGUUCAGAAACAGUUGGACAUUGCUGGGAUUCUUCAAAAGAUUUUGGCAUUAGCCACUGGCCAGAAGCACGAGGGUUCCACCAUGGAUCAAGUGCAAAGCCAACUUCGUGAACAACUAGCAAGCCAAAGAUACUUGCUUGUUUUAGAUGAUGUAUGGACUGAGAACCGUGAUCAAUGGUGUGAAUUGGUAAAAUACUUGAUUGGAGGUCAAAGAGGAAGUUGGAUUGUGGUGACUACACGUUCGCAAAAAACUGCAACAAUUAUAGGAGGUGGUCAAAUGUAUGAGCUGCAAGGCUUGUCAAAGGAAAAUUCAUGGCACUUGUUUGAAAGGACAGCUUUUGGACCAGAUAAGUACAACCAUAACUUGGUUGAGAUUGGCCUAGAGAUUGUUGAUAAAUGUGCUCAAGUCCCACUUGCAAUAAAAAUUGUAGGCAGUCUUUUGUAUGGUCAAGACAAGAGUAAGUGGCAAUCAGUUCAGGAGAUUGGAUUAGCCAACAUCAGGGAGAGUGAAAAUGGCAUUAUCCCCAUAUUGAAGUUGAGUUUUCAUCAUCUUGAAUCUCCAUUAAAGAGUUGCUUCAGCUAUUGUGCUUUGUUUCCGAAGGAUUUUCUGUUUUUUAAGGAUGACUUGAUAAGCCUAUGGAUGGCACAGGGUUAUAUUGUUCCAUUGGAUGAAGGUCAAAGCAUUGAAGAUGCUGGCGAGGAAUAUUUUUCGAUUUUGUUAAGGAGAUGUUUCUUCCAAGAUGUCAAUAGAGAUAAAUUCGGUGAGAUCAUCUCAUGUAAAAUACAUGAUCUCAUGCAUGAUAUUGCUCAAAGUGUCUCGGGGAAGGAAGUCUAUACAACGGAUACCAUUAGUAGCAAUCUAGAUAAAAAAGUUCGUCAUCUCUCAGUUGCCUGUGUGGGGGGAUAUGGCAAAUACUCUUGGGGUAAGACCCAUAUUCGUUCUCUUUUUGCUGGGUCCUAUUUUAAAGAAGUUCAUCCAUUUCCGGUGAAGGUAUUAGAAGAGAUUCUAGCAAGUUGUAGGUACCUAAGAGCAUUGGAGCUAUGUGGGUCAAAUAUAGAAAGGUUGCCCGACUCCAUUGGUAAGUUGUUGCAUUUGAGGUACUUAGAUCUUUCUAACUCAAAGUUGGUAAAGCUUCCUAAGUCUAUUACUAAAGUUUAUAAUCUACAAACCUUGAUAUUAACUGGUUGUAAGAAUUUGAAAGAGUUGCCAAAAGAUUUGAGGAGGCUGGUUAAGCUUAGGUUUUUGGAUAUACAAGAAUGCGAUAAGCUAGAAUAUAUGCCUGGGGGCAUGAGUAAGUUGACUUGUCUCAAGGAGCUUAGUGAUUUUGUAGUGGGUGGUAAAGGUAGUUGUUUAAGUUGGGAGCAAUGGUUUUAUGGGCUGGAGGACCUAAAGGCUCUCAGAAAUCUCAAAGAUUCUCUUCGAAUUUGCAUCAGGUGGCCUGAAAAUGCUGUGGAAAUUGUUAAAGAUGACAGUAGGAGGGAAGGAUUAUACCUGAGUUAUCUGAAACAUCUUGAUGCCAUUGAGUUUGUUUUCACCUUCGAUGAGGAUUAUGAGGAGGAGGAUGAUUAUGUGGAGGAGGAGGAUUCCAGAGAUGACUCAGAAGCUGAUAGAAAAAUGGAUAAAGAGGCAAUAUUAAAUUUAAUGGAAGAUCUCCAGCCACAUUCAAAUCUGAAGAUGUUAGAUGUGUGGGGAUACCAUGGUGAAAUAUUGCCUGGUUGGGUAUCCCUUCUCACUAAUCUUGUAUUGCUUCAUCUUGAAUAUUGUGAGGAGUUAAAGUUCUUGCCAUGCCUGCGAAAUUUGCCUCAUCUGAAAUCACUCAGUCUUGAUGAUAUGGCAAGUUUGGAGUACAUAGAGAAAGAAAGUCUUUUAUGUGUUGAUUCCACAUUGUCUAGGCUGGGAAGUAAUUCUGAAGAACAAGUAUCAUUCUUUCCUUCCCUUGAAAAACUUAGGCUAUCCAAUCUGCCGAAGCUGAAAGGAUGGAGAAGAGGGGUGGAAGAUAGCAGCAGUAACUCACAACUGAUACCAUGUCUUUCUGCACUGAAGACUUUUAAAAUAAGGGGCUGCCCUGAGCUAACUUGUGUUCCUCUAGGUCCCUCAUCCACAACUACUUCGAAUCAUAUUGUUUUUCCAGUUCCCAAAUUAAGGAAGGUAGGAACAGACAAUGUGAGAUGGCUAAAUUUGCUGCCUAUGGAGGUUUUACAGUGUCUUGAGAGACUGAAAAUAGAUGGUGACAAUGAGGUGGUAAAUCUGCCUGACCGGAUGCAAUUCUUGACUAACCUCAAAAUCCUGGAAAUUUUUAAUUGCGGACAAAUAAAAGCAAUGCCGAAUUGGUUGCCCAAACUCACCUCUCUCAGGAAACUUGAUGUUUUCCAGUGUUCAGAAAGUCUGGACAGAAGAUUUCAAAUAGAUCCUCCAGGGGAGGAUUGGCCUUACGUUCAACACAUCCCCUUUAUUUGCGUUGGAAGUACCCUCUAGAAGACCGUCAAAAUGGAAUUAAGGAGUACUAUAUUAUUGAAUGGAGGAAGUACAAGUACAUUCCUUGUAUGUCCAGACAUUGAUGCUCAGUCCUCAGGAGUUACCUAUCCUUAAGGGAAUUCCUGAACUUGGUGCAGGUUGCCUACUCAACCUGAUGACUGAUAUGGUGCUUCUCAAACUAUUGAGCUAGCACAAAUUGUUUGUGAGUUUUUGCCAUCUGUUGUGAAGUCCAUUACUCCUAUGAGCACUGCUGGGAAUUCCUGUCUCCUAAUUUUCAAGGCAAGGAAGCUACAACUGUCUGAACUAGUUUUUGGGUUCCUUGUCUCAUCCACCUGGCUGCAUUUGAUCAAAAAACCCUUAAAACAAAGCUAAUUUCUGCUCUUAAUGUAACAUUUUCGUCUUAACUUUAUUUUCAGGUAAGGCAGAUUCCUGCACUAAAAAGUUAGUAGGCAAAGUUUUGUGAACUUGGCUCAUGUAAAUACUCAUCACCUUUUCUAAAACCGCUAAAAUUGCUUACUCUGAACCUAACUGCAUUAAAGUUAUGGUGCUCAUGCUGCAGGCCAUCGCCCUCGUGAGAAGUGUCCAGACUCCAGAACUCAAUACUCUGAACUGUGAAUGGGCAAUAACAUGUGACAGAAGUCACAGAACAAGGAGCUGCUCUUCCUCAUGAUGGAACCAUGUCAACUCUCUUACCAAAUGCCAAUGUAAUUUUAGAUUCUUGCCAAAAUGCAUAUUUUUUCAUCUUGUAUGUAUCUCUUCAUUUUGAUUUCAAAGAAAAGCAGCUUGUGAUUGAAUUCCUACUUGUGUAGAAAAUACUUUCUGAUUUUCCAUGUAAUUCCUGACAUUUUAGAGCUGUCUGUCUUGUAUACUUUGACCUCGACUUUUUUGUAUGCUCUUGUUUUACUGGUUAUUUGUAUAUAAGUACUUGAACAAUUUAAAACUAUUAAACAUUCUGAUGGAGCACUGUAUUAGUGGUGAUUGUAUUGGUGCUAAGCUACGAAAGUGAAAUGAGUCCAGUGGCUAAAUGCUGAUGUGCUUAGAAUAUUAGAGCAGGAAUUGGGCUGACCUGAAAUUAUUGCUGCCUAAUGGAAUAAACUAUAACAAAAUUGAUGCAUCAAAACAACAGAAUGAGGUGACAAAUUAACAUCCAAAUCUCCGGUGAACUGUACAGUAAGUUCCAAGAUUUGCUCUUGUGAGUCAUGACCUGUAUGAACUCUUAAUUGAACGCU